GACGAACGCUGGCGGCGUGCUUAACACAUGCAAGUCGAACGGAAAGGCCCUGCUUUUGUGGGGCGCUCGAGUGGCGAACGGGUGUGUAACACGUGAGUAACCUGCCCUUGACUUUGGGAUAACUUCAGGAAACUGGGGCUAAUACCGGAUAGGAGCUCCUGCUGCAUGGUGGGGGUUGGAAAGUUUCGGCGGUUGUGGACAGACUCGCGGCUUAUCAGCUUGUUGGUGGGGUAGUGGCUUACCAAGGCUUCGACGGGUAGCCGGCCUGAGAGGUGGACCGGCCUCAUUGGAACUGAGAUACGGCCCAGACUCCUACGGGAGGCAACGGUGGGGAAUCUUGCACAAUGGGCGGAAGCGUGAUGCAGCAACCCCGCGUGCGGAAUAACGGCCUUCGGGUUGUGAACCAAUUUGGCCUGUAACAAAGCGUGAGUGACGGUAAUGAGUAAAGAAGCACCGGCUAACUACGUG
rnacentral:rRNA from 1 species